UAUUUGUAAAACUCAAUAUCUGAUAAGCAUUAGUAAAUCUACAGCUUUUAUAUAAAUCUUGUAAACUAUAUGGUAUAGUCUUGAACUUGUAAAUAGGGCUUCAGACUUCAAAGGACUCAAAAACAAAAAGUAUUGCAUCUCAAUAUAUACAUUUUAUAAGUUUCUUGGUAAGUAUCCCCUUUUGAAAUAUUGAUUAAUUUGUUUUCACACUCCACAUAGCAACUAAUCUUCAUCAUCAA
rnacentral:lncRNA from 1 species